rnacentral:lncRNA from 1 species
GAAACUUGAGUACUACUACUGCAUCAUCAAAACGCAGAAAGCAAGAAAUGGAGUAUCAUGUAAAAAGAAAAUGUGUAGGUAAAGUGAGUGGGCUUGGUGGCACUGUUCUGUCAGACACUCACACUACACUAGUGCUUGCGGGACGAGACACCUCGUUUGUCGUUUAGUCUUCCCAGACGACACUGUUCAUCCAAUGAAUAUCGCUUUUGGGAAGGACACAGAUCAACACAAACUUCAAAUUGGAGACCGGUAACAGACAUAUAUGGAUGAAACAGUGCUUACGAGACCAUCUCUAAUGCAAUUUAAAGAUUAAUCUAAAAAAGUUUUAAUUUCAAGUAGAUCCAAGUAAUUAUAAUGAACGUUAUAAAUCUCAAAGAAAAAGAACCCCGCCGCAGAUUUGUGCAUGAGAUGUAAGCAUCGGGCCAUCUGCCGAUCUGCGUACCCCGUUGCAAGUUGCAACAGAGAAAUAUAUCCGGGACAAUUGAAACCCCACCUGCUGAAUAAUCCAGAACCCUUUUAUCAUAAGCACAAAUGAUGAUACACUACACCGUACACCCAUCUGCUGCUUUGUUCUCUUUUGGCACUGAUAUUUAUUCUCUUUCCUUUUGUGCCUUGAGCUUAUAUUUGGUGUUUAGACACAGGAGAUAUAUCCUCCAUCAUAUGACUCAUAGCUUAUAGCUGUUUACUAGAUCUAAUAAUUCAUGGAGCAGAACCCUAUAUCAUUUGGAGCUGCUGAUCGAAAGACUGUAGAGAAAAAUAGAAGAAAUUAUAUGAAAGACCUCUACUCCAAGCUCCAUUCUCUUAUCCCUCAUGAUAGCUCAUCUCUGGUCUCUCUCUCUCCCUCCCUCCCUCUCUCUCUCUCUCCUUUUCUC